rnacentral:rRNA from 1 species
GACGAACGCUGGCGGCGUGCCUAAUACAUGCAAGUAGAACGCUGAAGGAGGAGCUUGCUCUUCUGGAUGAGUUGCGAACGGGUGAGUAACGCGUAGGUAACCUGCCUGGUAGCGGGGGAUAACUAUUGGAAACGAUAGCUAAUACCGCAUAACAGUAGAUGUUGCAUGACAUUUACUUAAAAGGUGCAAUUGCAUCACUACCAGAUGGACCUGCGUUGUAUUAGCUAGUUGGUGGGGUAACGGCUCACAAAGGCGACGAUACAUAGCCGACCUGAGAGGGUGAUCGGCCACACUGGGACUGAGACACGGCCCAGACUCCUACGGGAGGCAGCAGUAGGGAAUCUUCGGCAAUGGACGGAAGUCUGACCGAGCAACGCCGCGUGAGUGAAGAAGGUUUUCGGAUCGUAAAGCUCUGUUGUAAGAGAAGAACGAGUGUGAGAGUGGAAAGUUCACACUGUGACGGUAGCUUACCAGAAAGGGACGGCUAACUACGUG